CCUACGGGUGGCAGCAGUGAGGAAUAUUGGUCAAUGGCCGUAAGGCUGAACCAGCCAAGUCGCGUGAAGGAAGAAGGAUCUAUGGUUUGUAAACUUCUUUUAUAGGGGAAUAAAGGUAUCCACGUGUGGAUAUUUGCAUGUACCCUAUGAAUAAGGAUCGGCUAACUACGUGCCAGCAGCCGCGGUCAUACGUAGGAUCCGAGCAUUAUCCGGAGUGACUGGGUGUAAAGAGUUGCGUAGGUGGCAUAAUAAGUAGCUAGUGAAAUCUGGUGGCUCAACCAUUCAGACUAUUAGCUAAACUGUUAAGCUCGAGACCGUUAGGGGUAACUGGAAUUUCUAGUGUAGGAGUGAAAUCCGUAGAUAUUAGAAAGAACACCAAUAGCGUAGGCAGGUUACUGGGACGGUUCUGACACUAAGGCACGAAAGCGUAGGGAGCAAACGGGAUUAGAUACCCUUGUAGUC
rnacentral:rRNA from 1 species